GACGAACGCUGGCGGCGUGCUUAACACAUGCAAGUCGAACGGUGAAGGGACCGGUUUUUGCUGGUUCUGGAUGAGUGGCGAACGGGUGAGGAACACGUGAGUAACCUGCCCCCUUCUUCUGGAUAACCGCAUGAAAGUGUGGCUAAUACGGGAUAUUCUGCGCCUGCUGCAUGGUGGGUGUGGGAAAGAUAUUGUUUCGGUGGGGGAUGGGCUCGCGGCCUAUCAGCUUGUUGGUGGGGUGAUGGCCUACCAAGGCGGUGACGGGUAGCCGGCCUGAGAGGGUGGACGGUCACACUGGGACUGAGACACGGCCCAGACUCCUACGGGAGGCAGCAGUGGGGAAUAUUGCACAAUGGGCGCAAGCCUGAUGCAGCGACGCCGCGUGAGGGAUGGAGGCCUGCGGGUUGUAAACCUCUUUCGCCAGUGAAGCAGGCCUGUCCCUUUUGUGGGUGGGUUGACGGUAGCUGGAUAAGAAGCGCCGGCUAACUACGUG
rnacentral:rRNA from 1 species